rnacentral:rRNA from 1 species
GAUCCAGCCAUGCCGCGUGAGUGAAGAAGGCCUUCGGGUUGUAAAGCUCUUUCGGCUGGGAAGAAAUCGCACAGGCUAAUACUCUGUGUGGAUGACGGUACCAGCACAAGAAGCACCGGCUAACUACGUGCCAGCAGCCGCGGUAAUACGUAGGGUGCGAGCGUUAAUCGGAAUUACUGGGCGUAAAGCGUGCGCAGGCGGUUGUGCAAGACAGAUGUGAAAUCCCCGGGCUCAACCUGGGAACUGCAUUUGUGACUGCGCGACUAGAGUACGGCAGAGGGGGGUAGAAUUCCACGUGUAGCAGUGAAAUGCGUAGAGAUGUGGAGGAAUACCGAUGGCGAAGGCAGCCCCCUGGGCCGAUACUGACGCUCAUGCACGAAAGCGUGGGGAGCAAACAGGAUUAGAUACCCUGGUAGUCCACGCCCUAAACGAUGUCAACUAGUUGUUGGUAGGGUUAAACCUAUUAGUAACGUAGCUAACGCGUGAAGUUGACCGCCUGGGGAGUACGGUCGCAAGAUUAAAACUCAAAGGNAUUGACGG